GUAACAUAAGAGAUGUGGGAAUGCGCACCUUUUAUUAAAUUUCUGUAUUUUAUUUGACACCCUUCUUCACGUUACACUCUCGGUUUCACAGACAAGGCUUAAACAUAGUCCCAGGCUAAAAUACAUCUUUAAGCUGAAAACGACUUCAGUAAAUGCAACCAGUCAAAGAUAUUCUGGGAAAAUUUGCUGACUAGACGUUUUUACAUAGAAAGUGGUUGAGUGAAGGAAUCUGAGAAAGUUUCAUUUUGGAGAAGGCCCUGCAGGAGUUUUAAAAUGGAGAACAGGACCAGUGAGCUGGAACAGGACAUCUCUGAUGGUACAGAACAGACUCGAGGAGUGGGCCAGACAACCGAAUUUAAGAUUGCGAUAGCUUCCCACACAUGGAAGAGAACUGAAGCAUAAUGUUAGUCUGGAGAAAAGUCUACGGAUGUACGGAGGCCACGGUGGGGCCGCCUCAAUCUUGAGCUCCACCCUAUAUUGCUCUGCUUGGCAGGCGGCCUGCUAUUUCACAGCUGUCUGGAUCAACAGAAUUUCCACAUCGCUACACCGACCGAGCCAGAAGCAUCCAACAAAAAGUCUGAGCACAUAAACAUGCUUUGUGGGAUUGAGACCAGAACCGGAUAUGUAAACUGAGCUUCGAUGUGAAAUGUGCAAUUUUUUACAGUUUCUCCAAUUAAUACAUUACAUUGACAGGUAAUCACGAAUGGUUUAAGUUUGGGUUGGUAAUUAUCUGUUGGUUAACCAAUGGCAAAUGAUGGCAAAAUAGUUCAAUUCCAUUCAGUGGAAGAGAAAUUCACCUUUACCACAAUGAUAUCAAAUGUCUAUGUGAUUAUUGUAUGUGUUUAUGGGAUUGUUUUGCUUUAGUUUUAGAAUAAUAGUACAAUUAGUAUUAUAAUAAUAAUAAUACGCUAAUAAUAGUGUCACAUUUGGUUUUUAACAGGGCUGUUUAUGAAUACACAUUGUAUCACAUCUGCAUUUUUUCCUGCGACAAUUAAAGGUGCAGUGUGUAAUUUUUAAAAGGAUCUCUUGACAGAAAUGCAAAAUAAUAUACAAAACUAUAUUAUCAGGGGUGUAUAAAGACCUUUUAUAAUGAACCGUUAUGUGUUUAUUACCUUAUAAUGAGACGUUUUUAUCUACAUGCACGAUGGUCCCCUUACAUGGAAGUCGCCAUUUUGUGCCACCAUGUUUCUACAGAAGCCCUUAACGGACAAACUUUUUACUAAGUUGUCUCCGACGAUGACAUGUUUGUCCGGUGAUGGCUACCGUAGCUUCUCUAUGUGUUUCAAAAGCAAGGGGUGAGCAGUGGACUGAACCAUUGGUUGCAAUUCACAACAGCACCACUAGAUGCCGCUAAAAUGUACACACUGCACCUUUAAACAGGUUAUUAUUUGUCUUAUUUAUACACAUCAUAUAAAGUGAAAUAUGUGAAUAAAAAAAGCUCAACAGG